rnacentral:miRNA from 1 species
UAUAUACGUGUGCAUGUGUAUAUAUGUAUACACACAUAUGUAUAUGUGUGUAAAUAUACAUACAUGUAUAUAUUAUACAGACGUGUGUG